rnacentral:misc_RNA from 1 species
UAAUAAGUGUUUUAUGGCACUUUUAAAUCCAUAUCCACCUUGUGUGCAAUGUUAUCUCACUGUUGCUUUCUUCUUCGGAAGAGAGUGCUUUGGGAUUAUAUAUCUACUCAAUUUUUAAUCACUUUGUCUGAACUAUUAUGAAUACUUAAUUCAAAAUA